rnacentral:rRNA from 1 species
CCUACGGGGGGCAGCAGUGGGGAAUAUUGCACAAUGGGGGGAACCCUGAUGCAGCGACGCCGCGUGAGUGAAGAAGUAUUUCGGUAUGUAAAGCUCUAUCAGCAGGGAAGAAAAUGACGGUACCUGACUAAGAAGCCCCGGCUAACUACGUGCCAGCAGCCGCGGUAAUACGUAGGGGGCAAGCGUUAUCCGGAUUUACUGGGUGUAAAGGGAGCGUAGACGGUUAUGCAAGUCUGAAGUGAAAGCCGAAGGCUCAACCAUGGGACUGCUUUGGAAACUGUAAGACUGGAGUGCAGGAGAGGUAAGCGGAAUUCCUGGUGUAGCGGUGAAAUGCGUAGAUAUUAGGAGGAACACCAGUGGCGAAGGCGGCUUACUGGACUGUAACUGACGUUGAGGCUCGAAGGCGUGGGGAGCGAACAGGAUUAGAUACCCGGGUAGUC